CCGUUUUGAACCCCACUCUCCACAAACUCCAUGUUAACGGUUCUGCAGAGAUCGGGCACGUACAUCGUCAGCUUCGAGUCCUCAGUCAGGUUCCUCGGGAUAUACUCGCCAGCGCUUCCUGAUAACUGACCAGCAAUAUACUGCAGCCAAUCGAGACAAAAGAGAAAGAUUUUUGAAAGGAUGACAUUAGAAAACUCACAGAGAAGAACCAGCCGAAUCGAUCCAGAGCUGGUGCACCUCCUCUAACACUGGCUGGCAUCAGCUUGGCCAGGUUCAAGAGCGGGUCCUCGUAGCCUUCGAAGAGGAACUCACUGGCUCUCGCCGUUACGGACACCUUCGUGUGCUGCGAGCUCGUCAGGGUCAAAGACACGAGCUUCUGUUCGAUAAAUCCACUGAACCUCGCCUGGUAAAUCGCUGACUGUAAUACAAGACAGCAUCAUCAUUAUCCGACCGGUCCCUGUAUGUCCAAUAUCGUAUAUGUUGCAUACGUCGCAAAGUCGAAGAGCUACCUCAAUUCAUUAAAACUAUCAUCAGAUCAGUUUUCUAGAUGAUUCCAUGGGAACCAUGUUUCGAUUAAAAUCGACAAACAUUUGUUUUUAAUCCAUAUCACCGAGGAGCGGCCCAACUACUGUUAAAUAGUUCACGGAGCUUACAGACUUUACGAUGUGAAUGUGACUAAGCAUCUUGAAAUAUGAAGUCGAAGUCAUUUUGAAUCGUAUUAUAUAACGACUAGCCGUACUCGCCCGCUUCGUUGGGCAUUUAAAAUUAACAUUAUUAUUCAUUGUCAUUAUUAUUAGGGAGUCCAACACUCAUAUAAAUAUUAGCCUAUCCAUUAAGUACAUGUAUUUUCUACAUGGAUACCAAGUUUCAAGUCAAUCGGAUGCAUGGUUCAGUAGUUAUAACGGAACAUCCGUAAAAAUCACUAUAGAUUUAUAUAUUAGUAUAGAUUGUUCCAUCCACCAUGUUGGAAAGCGCUGCUCCCUGGGAGAAAUAGACAGGAUAGUGGUCUGAGUGGACUUACAAGACGUCCUGACGGUGGGGAACUACAGUCCGGCAAAUGAAAAAAUGCGUUCCUGGCAAUAAGUUGGUUCGUUUAGUGUACGAUGUACAUAAAUUCACGUCCGCGAUUUUUAAUUUGCCCUACUAAUAAAUAAAUAAAUAAUAAUUUCUCAAUCAACUUGUAUGUUUGUAAGUACCAACAUAUAUCCUGCUAACGGCUGCACCUUACGCAUCAAAACAUAGUUAGAUCUCAGAGAGCACAUUCUUUGCCCUGAAGCGAUUGGUUUUGUCAAAGUAGUCGAGUUUAAGAUAGAUUUGUGUCUGGACAGAGAUUUCUGUGGGUGACAGCAACUGGCUUAUAGUCUCUCCAGCCUUUGCGAGCAAUAGUAAUUAUGUAUGUGUAUCGAUUGGUGGUAAAUCAUUUAUGUUCUCAUCAGAUUACCAGGGCUCUUGAAACUGCGAUACUUUAAGACAAACCCUUUUUGUGUAUGGAAACUAGCGACAUCUUGUAGCGGAUGCCCCUAAACUUAUAUGUUGUUACAGUUAAGGCUUUUAAUUAUUGUAUAACUAAAUACAGAAAAAAAAAAACAUAUAA